rnacentral:lncRNA from 1 species
ACGCAUUGAUAUACUUAAGAGUCAUUUAAUCACAAUUCUAAUUUUUGAAUGAAUUUUUUAAAUCUCCUUAAGAGCUAUUUUUUUUUUUACUCACCGUAAGAGCUAAUUAAAAACUAUGUAAUUGAUAUAAGGACAUAAUCAGAUUGAGAAAUUAUAAAGUGAUAAAGUCAUUUGUUAGAUGCAAAUGAGGGAAAUAUGUUUGAAAUUGUCAAAUUUAUUUAUGUUAUGAUUAUCUUUCUUGCAAUAUUUUUUGUUUCAAAGAAUGUAAACGGUAAGUCAUUUUUUAUACUUUUCGAUCAAAUUCUAUUAUUUACUUCAUACACACAACAUAUUAUCCCAUUUUGACUAAUUUUGUUUUCUCUUUCUAAAUUACAACAGGUUAUAGCUGUAGAUCGGAAUAUGAAUGUCUAAACAGGCGUUGUGUUGAGCCUCUUGUACCAAGGUGUAUUAGUUCUAGAUGUCAAUGUGGAUAUAAACCACUUCCGAAAUUAAUGUUGUUUUAGUUCUUGUACCCAAAUAAUUUUAUAUUUAAAAAAAAAAUCUUUCUAAUUUCAAGAACCUUGAAAUUUUGUAUUUGUACUUUAAAUUGGUGAUAAUUCAAAGGC